UACGGAGGGUGCGAGCGUUGUCCGGAAUCACUGGGCGUAAAGGGCGCGUAGGUGGCGCGGGAAGUCAACGGUGAAAGUUCGGGGCUCAACCCUGAAUCGGCCGUCGAUACUCCCGUGCUUGAGCACUGUAGAGGCAGAUGGAAUUCCGGGUGUAGCGGUGGAAUGCGUAGAGAUCCGGAAGAACACCGGUGGCGAAGGCGGUCUGCUGGGCAGUAGCUGACACUGAGGCGCGACAGCGUGGGGAGCAAACAGG
rnacentral:rRNA from 1 species